ensembl:lncRNA cruciferin CRU1-like
UGUUUACAGACGUGUUACAUAUCUGAAAAUUUCAACAUGAGUGAUCGACCACAACAGCAGGGUUGCAGAGAUUCUGGCUCCGAGAGCUCAGGAGAUGAAUGUGGACAGAAGCACGGAAAGGGCCAAGGCAAAGGCAAAGGGAAAGGUCAGCAAGGUCAGCAAGGACAGCAAUGUCAGCAAGGUCAGCAAGGACAGCAAUGUCAGCAAGGACAGCAAGGACAGCAAGGACAAGGUCACGGACAUGGUCACGGUCAUGGAGGUGAUCAUGGGAAAAAGGGGCAUGGAUGUGAGCAGCAAAAAGGAAAAAAGUUUUAAGGUCAUGACCUGAGACCAUGGUGGUCCAUGCAUGUCCUCAUGCUUUACAUAUCAAAACUGGGUUUCAGCUCCAUAUUGCAUUCAAAUAAUGAAAAUAAACCGAUUUAUUAAAACCUUAAAUGAUGUGUGUCUGUCUUGAAUGGUUGAGUUUGAGUGUUUUAAUGGAUAUCACUUAGUUCUUGACUUAAAAUGAUCUCUAGACACAUAUGGGGAACUCAGCCAAUGGUACAAAACCCAAAUAUCGACAUUCAUAGUGAAACUGUGCUGUGCAAGAAACCAAAUGCCUGAGAUGCUGCAUUAGCCACCACUGCCAACACAUGUUAAAAGGUUGUCAACUGGGAUUCCAAACAUCAAAUUCUAAACGAUAUUACGAUUGAAUGUGAAACCAAUUUUUAGGAAUAACGGAUCCGCUGCCACUGCACAAAAACAAAUUACAUCAGGUUCUGCAAGCUUGGCACCCUAAAUAUUAAACUGAACUUAAGAUGCAUGCCAUCUUUCUAUAUUAAAUGUGCAAGACCUACAAAUAACCCAACUGAAGGUGGAGAACUCCAAAAGUGGGAAAUGUGCCAAAGUUGAUGCUUACAGGUUUAAAACUGGGAGUGCACUUCAUUUAGCAUUCCUAUUCAACUCAAAAUCAUGCAUGUACCAGCGGUCCCCGCCCUGGUCAAGGGGAGAAAAAAAAGAAAAGCAUAUUGGGAAACACACUUAACACAAUGACCUUAAAUUCUGUUGGAAUGUGCUAGUGGCACAAAAUUUCACCACCCAACUAUUAAAAGUCCAAUAACUCAAGAGUGCAUUGGUACCCACCCACUUUUCCCAGUGGAGUUAGGCCUAGACUACUCAUUUAAAGUUGAAAAAUCUUAAGUUUAUUGCAGAAUAUGCAAACAAGUAUUUGCAAUGUGUCAAAGUGUUCCCUGUAGAGUUUUUGGCACAGCUCAGAUUGGUGAAAUUUACACCAUCAUGGGUAGUGUAGUUAUCCACAAGGAACUCCACUUUGAAACAAUUCUUUAAAAAAACAGAGUUUGUAGGAGGUCUAACUUUAGGGUUACGUUAGACCCCCAUUACAUUUUUCCCCUUCCAGACCCUGAAAGGCUACUGUACAAAUAUCAAUUUCCCAGCAUGUUUUCAGGUCAAAACUGGUUGAUAAUCUACACAAGAAAAAACAAACCAGAAACAAGGGUAGGUUUCUCAAAUUUAUUGAAAACCAGGUAAAGUCUUCCAUCGCUCUCGAACCGUUAUGGGACCAAGUGAAGCCUUGCCUUCCCACUGAACACCUAGAAGGGAAAGAGAAGAAAAAAAAAGAAAAAAAAAAAAAAGAGACCCACGUUAAAGGGUUAGUUCACCCAAAAAUGAAAAUUAGCCCAUGUUUUACUCACCCUCAAGGCAUCCUAGGUGUAUAUGACUUUCUUCUUUCAGACAAAUCCAAUCGGAGUUAUAUUAAAAAUUGUCCUUUCUCUUCCAAGUUUUAUAAUGGUAUGGGCGGGUGUUUUUGUUCAACGGUCCAAAAGAAGACAAAGCGCAUCCAUCCAUAUUAAAACAUUCCUCACACGCCUCCGGGGGAGUGAACAAAGGCCUCCUGUAGUGAAUUGAUGCAUGGUGUGAACAAAGGCCUCCUGUAGUGAAUCGAUGCGUUUAAAAAAAAAAAAAAAAAAAAGCAUAUUUAAAAUGAUAUACAGUUUUUUGUAACUUCCGCUGUAAACGGUCCAUAAUGUACUUAAAGUGCUCUAUUUCGCAC